rnacentral:tRNA from 1 species
UAGCAUACUUGCUUGCCCCGCCACGGAGACGACAACAGAACGAACAACAUCGUAAACCGAGCU